AAAGUUUUAAUCCAAACACAGACAUCUUCAGCAAUUAGUAACAAGAGCAAGAGGAAACAUUUCUUAUUAAGCACAAGCUAAACAGAUUUUUGAUUAACCGUUCCCAUUUCUGUCAGCCAUGCAAACUGGCACAGGCCCACAGGCCCAGGGCCUGGAAGUAAGUAGGCCAGCCUAGUAGAAAUCAGGUUACUAGCCAGAAAGGAUUUUAAUAAAAUUGGAGAGUACAGGCCUGCUUCUUCAGACUGACAUCAACAGAUGGGACGUUGUUAAAAUACUGAGACGUGUGGGAAGGCCUGGGAAACAUUGUUUUGCAGGCUGAUAACUUCUGUGUGUAUGUUUUAAAAAUUUAUUACUAAGGCUGGAUUAUAUUUUUCAUUGGCGCUGAAGUGACAUUCUAAAAGAACAGCUAGGUCUUCUCAGAAAUGUCUAAGUGACAUAAACACUGCCUUUUUGUUCUGUAAAAAUCUACCGUGAAGAUGGUUUUAAAUGACUUAAUUGUCCACCUUUGGUACUUUCUUGCCUGAAAGGAAGCAGGUGGUGGUGAGAAGAAGCUGGAAAUGUUUCCCUAGGUGCUUAGCCUCCAAGGAAAGACUCACAGAAGAACAGGAGGGAAAAACCUGCCCAGCAUGUAUGAUGAUCGGCAGAGCCCCAGUUACACGGGGCUUGUCUUUGGAACACUGACAGAGCCAUGGAAUGUCAGCACUGAUGAGCCUUUGACAACUGUCUCUGUGUUGGUGCGGAACAAACAUUUGAAAUUGGAUAGGCUGCAGGUGAAUCCUUCCUCUGGCAGUUUAGGACAGGAUUGUGAUAAAACUUUGACACAUGCUCAUAAUUAAAGAAAAGUUUUCGGGACUUCCCUGGUGGCGCAAUGGUUAAGAAUCCGCCUGCCAAUGCAGGGAACACAGGUUCGAGCCCUGGUCUGGGAAGAUCCCAUGUGCCGCAAAGCAACUAAGCCCGCGCACCACAACUACUGAGCCUGCGCUCUAGAGCCCACAAGCCACAACUACUGAGUCCACGUGCCACAACUAUUGAGCCCGCGCACCUACAGCCCGUGCUCCGCUACAAGAGAAGCCACCACAAUGAGAAGCCCGCACACCGCAACGAAGAGUAGUCCCCGCUUGCCGCAACUACAGAAAGCCUGUGCCCAGCAACGAA